CAGAGGUCCCGAGCGUUGUUCGGAUUCACUGGGCGUAAAGGGUGCGUAGGUGGUGAGGUAAGUCGGAUGUGAAAUCUCCGGGCUCAACCCGGAAAUGGCAUUGGAAACUACCUUGCUGGAGGAUUUGAGGGGGGAUUGGAAUACUUGGUGUAGCAGUGAAAUGCGUAGAUAUCAAGUGGAACACCAGUGGCGAAGGCGAAUCCCUGGAAAAUACCUGACACUGAGGCACGAAAGCUAGGGGAGCAAACAGGAUUAGAUACCCUGGUAGUCCUAGCCCUAAACGGUGCUUGCUUGCUGUAAGAGGAAUCGACCCCUCUUGUGGCGGAGCUAACGCGUUAAGCAAGCCGCCUGGGAAGUACGGUCGCAAGAUUA
rnacentral:rRNA from 1 species